rnacentral:lncRNA from 11 species
GGAUGCUAGACAUUGUUCUGCAUCACUUGAUUCUUCAUUAAAAGUCUCCUGAAAGUUAUAGUUUGGAGAAGUGCUGAGAAUUCUCAAUGACAGACCAGAUCUUCUUUCUCCAGCUACCAUUCCUAAGGUUCUGGUACUAUUUGAUUGCCACUUAAUUGAGUGCUGGAGUGAUGAUCACUUAGUCAAUUAUUGCAACAGAAUAGAUGGAAAUGCAAAACCAGGAAUAUUUAGAGAGUCAAAAACAAAGAGCCAGCUGAGCCUUUUAACUGCACGCACCGAGAAUCAGCAGACCUUUCUAAACAGGAUCACUCUGAACUGUGUUAUUUAUAUUUACACUGUGUUUUUACUCUUGGAAAUAGGGCAACAAAGCCAGAAAAGGCAUUUAGCCUGAUUUCCUGUUUUGGAACGUUCCUGAGUCUCCACCCUCCAAGUAGAGAAGCAGAAAGGCUGUAAUUGCCACCUUCCCUCCCAUGCAAUCCUGCCGCAACAUGCCAGUCAGUUUGCAGCAACUGGAGGAAGCCAAGUACAAAGGAGGAAAGUGGAAGGAAGAAGAAAAGAGAAUAACUGGAGGAUUGGCGGUGCCCAUCCUUGCCAAAAUGGGACAGAUGAGGAAUAUGAUCAAGGGACUCCAGGACAUGCUAGUCAUGCCAAUCAUAAUACUGACUCUGGAUUAAGCUAUGAACGAGAAACUGAAACUGAGCAUUGCUAUAGCAAUUUAAACUGUGAUUUAACUAAUGUUUUUGACUGUUUAUUGUUUAAUCUAUUUUGUUCUAUUUUGCUUUCUCCUUUACUGACUUUUCAUUUAUUUUGCGUAUAUUAUUUAUUGUAUUUAAUUAUGUUGUGAGCCGCCCUGAGUCCUUUCAGGGAGAUGGGGCGAGAUAUAAAUAAAGG